rnacentral:rRNA from 1 species
GUGGGGCUGCUCGCCCAUUAAAGGGGAACGUGAGAUGGGUUUAGACCGUCGCGAGACAGGUCGGACUCUACCUGUCGGGGGUGCUGGCCGCCUGAGGGGAAGGUCCGCUCAGUACGAGAGGAACGGCGGGCCGCGGCCUCUAGUCUACCGGCCGUCCGGCAGGGCGCGCCGGGCAGCCACGCCGCAUGGGGAUAACCGCUGAAGGCAUCUAAGCGGGAAGCCCUCCCCGAGACGAGGCGGCCGCUCUCGGCCGU